rnacentral:lncRNA from 1 species
GCAGUUUGUUGCCAUUUCCAAGGACUCGGGCUGACUGGAUACAGGUGCUGAGGCAAGACACAGGGAGGAUACGUGAUAUUUGGAGGCAACACAUGUGGAGGACACAUGAUAUUUGGAGGGGAUAAACAGGACUCCACAGAAUGACAAAGGCUGAGCUAGGCUUGCUUUUAGAGCUAGCUGUGCAACGCUUGUGGAUCUCUCAUCUUCGCUGAUCUUCACUUCCCUGAGAGAGGCACAGCUGAGUAUUUCUGGAGUUCCUGCCGACUUGAGCCAAGGUUGAAGCCUGGCUGUCUCUCCUAGGUUGUGCCACCGCAGUUGCUAUCCCGACUCUACCAAACUGGACUGCUGGUGUAUCCGUGAAGUGUUUGAGAGUGGAUGGAGCUGCUGCUGCUGCCUGCUAACCUGUGAACUGAACUGCUGAUUUCCAGACAACUGCUGAUUUUCCAGAUCCAGCCAGGCAGAGGCCCUUCCAUUAAAAUUCCCCAGCCCUCCAAGGCUUCAGCCAUGUGCAAUUGAACAGAGUGGCAGACAAAUGGCUGGGAGGUGUGGUUGAAAUCUCAGAAGGGAAUGAGAAUAAGCCUGGAGCUCCUUGCAAGCAGGCAGAGUUGCUCUGAUGAAGCUGGCAGCUGCGUUUGCUCAGGGGUCUGAGCCCUACAACAAUCUCCAAAGUUGUUUGACCUACAUGUCUAUCUGUGCACCGCCCGCACUGAGUGCCGACACCGACAGAAGCCAGCAGAGGAUGUCCGUUACCCUGGACUGGAGUUACAGUUGUGAGCUGCCAUGUAGGUGCUAGAAAUGGAACCCUAAGUCCUCUGCAAGAGCAGUCACUGCUUUCUACUGAGCCAAUUCUCCAGCUCCCUAUUCAUCAAACGUUUACCAAGCACCUAGUCCUUAUGUAUUGGACACAGAGUCAGUUUUGGGGGAGAGUGCUGUGACCUCUUCCCUUGGGGAGCUCCAACCUAUAAGGAAAUACUAUUAUUGUAUUUCCCUAUUAUUUUAUUGUUUUUUAAAAUGUGCAUGUAUCUGUAUAUUCCACAUAUGUGCGGGUGCAGGUGUGUAUGUUUCUGUGUGUACAUGUCACAUGUGUGCAGGUGCCCGUGAAGUUCAGAACAGGGCAUUAGAUCUCUAGAGCUGAAUACGGCAGCUGUGAGCCACCCGAUGUGGGUGCGAGGAACAGAGCUCUGAUGUAAUGCAAGAACCAUAAGCGCUUCCCGCUGAUCACUAUCUCCAGCUUUGUUGUGUUUAUUGUACAGAAAAGAGGUGCAGUGUUGAAAGGUCUUUGAAAGCUAUGGAGUGCUGUGAAAUAUAAUAA